GGCCUACAGGAUUCUGACAAGGAAACCAUGUUAAGAAUCCUGACCUUAAGAAGGGCUGAUAAAUAGAUUUUGCUAUAGUAACAAAAAGUUACUUUACAGCAUGGAAAGUUCUGAGUGAUGAAGUUCUAACAGCAGCAGGAAAGACAGAGACUAGCAUCCAACCUGCAAGGGAAAUGGGCCGGCUCCCCUUCCUGAGAAGGCUGGCCUGAUUUCAUACCUUCCCUGCAAUUUCCACCAUGAAAAUGGAUUAACUCCGAGGCAUUUUCUAUUCUGAUUAAACAUUUCUGUCUGUGGCGGUGUCAAGAUUGUAAAACACCUAAUACAGCAGUUAAUUAUAAUGCCAUGAACUACUUUAACCUUUACAAUUAUUUGUGUUUUCAGAGGCUGCCCCUCCCUCCCAGCCUUCCCAGGGUAGGAAACGGACUGACCGGCAAAUAAAACUGGGGCAUACUGAAGAGGUCAGAGACCAAAGUGACCUCUAGAGCGUGAGUGAUGCACAACCCCCAUGGACUAUUCUUGUUUUAAUGACCAAAUGCAGCCACUAAAUGGUCUUCCUGGUGUCAGCUCAUGACUGAAGAGAACAGAAUAUUUCUAGAAUCUUAGAGGUGGCUAUAGCAGAAGCCUCAUCAGAGCAAGAAAAGGGAAAAAAAAUAGUUGAAUUUUCCUUUUCCCAUCACUGCAUUUGCCACUUUGUACAUAGAGGGCAGAUUCAGUUACCAGCUACCGUGUUAAGGAUUGUGAGCACUGAGCUAACACCCAGCAAACUCCUACAGGGACAGAGCCUUAAGAUAGCAUCAGACUCUCUGCGGCUAUUCCCACCAAAGGGGAGACGUUCCCUCUGGAGCCAUAGGUUAAGACCACUGGGUUGCGUCCCAACUGCAUGGACAUGAGCAAAGAGGCAAAAUCCACCUUUAAAAAAAAAAAAAAUAUCCCACAGAGGCAGAGAACAGAGUAUUGAGAAAAUCUUGGACUAAUAAAGAAGUUGCCAUGAAACCAAGAACUCAACAGAGGCAAAUUUUCUCAGUUUUCAGCAGUGAAAACUCAAUGCCAGUUGAGAACCUCUGGCUGGAACACAGGAGAAACUGCGCCAUCUGCUGGCUGUUUCGGAGAACUGCUUGGGACAACCUGACACACAAAGAAGGCUCCUAGCACUCCACAACGCCACAAGAGGAUCCCUUCAGAGACUGUUUCCUCAGCCAAAUGUGCAAAUGUGUGAAGGAUAAAGAAGCUGACCCAUAUGAGCACCUGCUGUAUGCCAGCAAUUGUCACAUGUGAUUUCUCAUAUUAACAUAUUCAAUCCUCAGAACCAUGCUGGGAGGGAGAUGUUGUCACUAUCCUUAUUUUACAAGUGAGGAAAUUGAGGCAAAGCAAGGUGAAACAGCUUGCACAGACUCACAGAGUUAAUGCUGGAGCUGGGCUUCAAACCCAGGCUGCCCGCCUCCAGAAGUCACACUUUGUAAUCUCUAGGUUUGAUCUAAAUACUCAACACCAAAUGACCAAACAACACAGUCAGAUGGGGAGCUCAUGGAUGUGAUGGAGAGUAAGAUGGCUAGCAGAGAAGUCCAGGUAAAUGGGCUCCCUGCUCACCCCCUACCCAUUGCUGACAAUGGGGACCCAGAAUGAGACGUCAGAAUGCAUGAUGGCUGGAGUAAAUGAGGAGGGAUUCUGGGGAGUGGAAAGACAGCAGAGUCCAAGGAGAAUCGGAGGUGAGUCAUAAACUCAAAAACAGGAAAAAAAGGAGAACUAGAGGAACACAAAGGUGAGGGGACAAAAGAUUUAUAUAGCUCAUCACAUUCAGAAUCUUAGAAC
rnacentral:lncRNA from 12 species